UACAGAGGGGGCAAGCGUUGUUCGGAAUUACUGGGCGUAAAGGGCGCGUAGGCGGCCCGCUAAGUCGAACGUGAAAUCCCUCGGCUCAACUGGGGAACUGCACGGGAAACUGGAAGGCUUGAGUUCGGGAGAGGGAAGCGGAAUUCCGGGUGUAGCGGUGAAAUGCGUAGAUAUCCGGAGGAACACCGGUGGCGAAGGCGGCUUCCUGGACCGACACUGACGCUGAGGCGCGAAAGCGUGGGGAGCAAACAGG
rnacentral:rRNA from 1 species